rnacentral:lncRNA from 1 species
CCUCGUCUCAGAUGACUGAAGAAUAUGUCAAGUUGACAUAAAACUAUCCAGCUGAGCAAGGUUAGGUCUCUCCAUCUGCUGACACAUGGGUGAUCUUUUGCUGAAUGAGAAGAAAAGUAAUGGCAAAGAACAAAGCAAAUUUGCUAUGCCCACAGAGAUCAGAAGAAGACAUUGGAUGGCUUGAACCUGGAGUUCCUCACAGGCUACUGCCACGCCGGCUGGCUAGGUUACUCUGCAUUUCCGGCUAGCAGCCGACCCACUGCAGCUGAGCUGCUCAAAACCAUCCACCCAGCUCGGAGAUAGUUUCUAGCUGCCUGGAGUCGAGGUAGGCCUCGACUUUCAGCAGAGGCUUCCCCUGGGCAUGCUGCGGGAAAGCAGAAUGUGUUUCAGUGGUUGCAGCCACAAGGCCGUAUACUCUCUAAGAUAAGCGCAGCCGCUUUUGUGACCUCUCUCCACCGCUGACCGACUGCUGCCAAAUGCCUCGGAAUAGCUGAACGCCUGUGCUACCUGCUGGUCAAAUAUAUUUACUGCAUCUGGAGUAGAAAUCAGGUAAAAUUAUGGUGGAAUAUUUAUCAUUUGCUAAAAUUGGUAAUAUUUUUGCUGAUUACGUGAAUUCACUGUUUGAGGAGGAUGUUAAUGUGCCAAUUACUGGCCUAUAUGCCAUAAUGGCAGUUAGUUUGCUGGUACAAAUAGUAUUACUAGCCAGAGGACUCAGGAAUAGGGAUAAGGAUAACCUCACCACCUACUUAUAGGAAAUAACAGCUUUACGAUUAGGUCAGACCACAAUUGUGCAGCAAGUGGAACAGAAAUUGGAUGAUAAACUUGGCUCUGUGUCCAAUACACUAAAGACAGAGAUGUCUGAUGAGAUGCAGCAUAUUUAUGAUAAGAUAAACACAGAGAGAUCCUCCAUGUCUGAGGCCUUAGAGGCUAGGCUGUCAGAAGACCAUGACCAGCUAAAGAAUAUCUGUAGCCACCUAGAAACUCAGAUAGGCAAUGUUACCCAGCAACUAGAUGCAACGGUGCAAAAUACCCAGCAUA